GUCCACUCAAAUAAUAAAACAACAUAACAUUGAAAUUAACAUCCCUCAUGUUGUUAAUUUAAUAUAAAUGUAUAGACAUAAACCUCAGGAACAAUUCAUCUUUUAAAGGUCUGAUAAACUUGACUGAAUUAUAACACAAUUUUCCGGUUACUUUAGACAUAACAGCAGAUGCUACCGGCCUGCAUGUAAUCCUCAUUAAUACGAAUACUAAGGAGUCACGCAUAAGCAUUCCCACGUGGCAAUUGUCAAAAACAACAUUAAAUCCUUGGGCAGUGCAAAACAUGGCACAACACUGAGUAGCCUUGUAACAACAUCAUAGCUUAACCAACAAACACUGCUCAUCAGUAGUUUGUCAGCUAUCACAAAAGACAAAGUAGUAUACUGAACUUCAUACUGUUUUUUACAAUCAGGCUCUGCUGACCGGCAGAUUCUGUUGUCUAGGUAGUUGGACAAAAUCCAAAAAUCACAUCGUAUGAUUUUUAAAUAAUUAAUUUGUGUUUUAUUGCAUGACAUAAGUAUUUGAUCACCUACCAACCAGUAAGAAUUCCGGCUCUCACAGACCUGUUUUCUUUAAGAAGCCCUCCUGUUCGCCACUCAUUACCUGUAUUAACUGCACCUGUUUGAACUUGUUACCUGCAUAAAAGACACCUGUCCUUCCCUCAGUAAAAGCAUUGAAGAUGGGUCGUGGUUGGGUCUUCCAGCAUGACAACGACCCGAAAACACACAGCCAGGGCAACUAAGGAGUGGCUUCGUAAGAAGCAUUUCAAGGUCCUGGAGUGGCCUAACCAGUCUCUAGACCUGAACCCAAUAGAAAAUCUUUGGAAGGAGAUGAAAGUCCAUAUUGCCCAGCGACAGCCCCAAAACCUGAAGGAUCUGGAGAAGGUCUGUAUGGAGGAAUGGAACAAAAUCCCUGCUGCAGUGUGUGCAAACCUGGUCAAGAACUACAGGAAACGUAUGAUCUCUGUAAUUGCAAACAUAGAUUUCUGUACCAAAUAUUAAGUUCUGCUUUUCUGAUCAAUCAAAUACUUAUGUCAUGCAAUAAAAUGUAAAUUAAUUAGUUAAAUAUCAUACAAUGUGAUUUUCUGGAUUUUUGAUGUAGAUUCCGUCACUCACAGUUGAAGAGUACCUAUGAUAAAAAUUACAGACUACAUGCUUUGUAAGUGGGAAAACCUGCAAAAUCGGCAUUGUAUCAAAUACUUGUUCUCCCCACUGUAGGUGCUGAGUUUGGAUCGGUUUGAAUAGUACAAGGAGUUUGGUCCGAGAUUGGCCCAAGGGUGGCGCUAUAGCUACAGUUUUGAACUGAACAUAUAUUAGGUCACAUGUCAUUUUAGAGACCACUGGCCUAUUCUUAAGACAGUGGAUGAUGCGUUUUGCAUAGAGAUCAUAUUUCAAAAGGGCUGCAAAUUGUAUAAUUUCCGGGAUGAUGACAUGUUCACUGUUUUUUAUUGUUUAAUAUACAUUUCUGUUUCCUUUAUGAAAGUAACAUUUGCAAACCUUGGAUUAGUGCAAGCGUUUACCAAAUAUGACACCCUGUGUGGUAAUCUACAGGAUGGUAUGUGUGCAAACAUAUACCAGAACAUGGCAAAAGCUCUUCAUGGCAAUUCCAAGUUUAUUAUACAUUUUCUUAGCAAUCCCAGACACUUGGACAUCAUAACAGGAACGUCUGCUGUGUGUUCUCCUGCUGUGAUGCGUCAUACAUUAAUUGAUCCAUUCUUUAUACCCUCCUGACACUAAACUGCAAUUUGUCAACUUGUUAUUAAAAUCGUAUCUAUAAAACAUUUGUAAUUUUGCAAAACAAGAUUCCUGUUCAUUCUGCUCCGCAUGGCGCCGUCAGCAGAAAUAAUACAAGUGAUAGAAAUACUGUUUAUAUAUGAAUGGUGGUCGAUACAGUUCAAAGUAUAAAUUUAUUAUAAAGUGCGAAACAACUAUGCUCAGUUAGCAGAGUUAUAGAAUAAUAUAUACAAUUACAUAAGAGCGCACUAUUGCUAACUAGUAUCAGAAAGGCAAAGAUAACAUACAAAAAUAAAACGCCUCUUUUUUUUUUGUUCUUUUUAACACGAAAACCACAGAUUUGAGUUAUAAGAGUGAAGAAAAUACUUUUUACUAUGUCAGUCGGGUCCAUGUAUGCUCAUGUUUGAUGUGUAUGCUGUUCAUUUGCAACUUUAUUAUAGGUCUACCAGUUUUCCAGACCCAGGUCAGAAACCGCUCAUUUCAGGUGCAUUCGAUUUAGUUUGGGAUAAUUCAUUUGGUUCAUGGUUUCAGGGAAACGUGUCUAAAUCAAGAACAGCUUGUGUUGUGUUGACUUAUAUGUUUGACUGUAGGUGAAGGGUAUAUAUACGAGUAUUUACCACCAGAAUGAUAAGUUGCAUGUUUGUGGAAAGGGCUCCUCUUUGCAUUUUAUGUGUGCUUCUCUGACACUGCUGAGGGAAAGGUUCCCCUAGUGACAGAGUCUCUUAUUACAUAUAUAGGUGAAGACUGUCCAUAGCUAAAAUGAU
ensembl:lncRNA